CAGAGUCCAGGCAUUCCCACUCCUCCUGUGAGAAGUUCACAGCUACAUCCCUGAAUGUCAACAGACCCUGAAAUAAAAAGAUGCCGUGUUUAUGUUACACAAGAUCACAGCAGACAUGUCUCAGAAGGAAAAUUCAUGAGGAGGAAAUGUGCUUCAAUUGCUGUACCAGUAGAUCAUGCCAAAACAUUGACAUAUAUCACAUCACUCCUGUGUAUACUUGGGCGUUACAUGAUUGUAUUCUAACAAGCUCAGGAACAAUGAAUACAUAGCUUAUUUCCCUAUCAACUGAAGGGGUCAUACUGAAAGAAUAAUACUGAAAACAAAGAACAAUGUCAAACCACAUGAAAAUACUCAACCAGAAGAAUAAGAGCAGGUGUCUAAUCAAUGAUCCCAAAGACAAGAGAGCAUGGAAAGAGAUUUGAAACUUGGAGAGAAAAUAACCACCAAACAUCUUGUUGCAGAAAGAAAACUAUUCUCUCAAAAUUGAUGGAAAUAUAAGUAUAUUCAAAAUAGUCACCAAUUAACAAAAUUGAUUUUAUCAAAUACAUUAGAGGUAAAAUAUGCACAGGAAAAUCAGAGGAAUAAUCCAAGAGAACAUGGGAAACAAUAAAUUUCAUGUGAAUAGAUAAAUAUAAGAAAACUGGAAAGUGUUCAUCUAUAAGCAAUGCAGCAAACCACUGUUUCUCAAAAAGAAGAAUACUAUGAAUAAUUCAACCAGUAGCAACAUAAAAAUAAAACCAUUGGAAAUAAAAAUGCCAGGAGCAAAAAAACUAGCCACACUAAAAAUCAAAAUAGAGAGUUCUCAAUUAAAUAAACAAACUCUCAAACUAAAUAACUUCAGCACAUGGCUCAGUUGUUCCAUUCCUCCGCAUAGGCUGAAUGGACUCGACAUCCUGGCUCACACACGCUCACUGUUGCUCUACUCACAAUACAUACAAAAAGGAAAGCAACCUAAGUGUCCUUCAACUGACAAAUGGAUAGUGAAAAUAUGGUACACAUACACUAUGGAAUAGUAUUGAGCUGUAAAAACUUUGAAAUCGUGAUCUUUGCAGGUAAAUGGAUAGACCUAGAAAAGAUCAUAUUGAUUGAGGUAACCUGGACCCAGA